UUUCAAGUUGCCUAUACAUGUCUCAUAUCACAUGCCUAUACUUACCUAGUCCCAUGCUUUGAUCCCAUUUGGUGGUAAAGAAGGAAAAAGAUACAAGAGAAUAAGAGAAGGAAAGAAAGUCUGGUUACCCGAAGAUGUCAGCACGUUGGCUCGUAUUUCGCGCUUGUAGUAGCCAGCAGUGGCGGCGAAGGUGAUCGGUGGUGGUUGGGUCCGUGAGUGGUGCAGUCAGUUAGCACGGUAGAGAGUGGUGGUGUACGUACAAUCUUGAACGCUGUGGUUGCGCGUUUUCUGCUCCCGUGCGGCGGGGGCUGCCCUUCGCAAGAAUCCGCUUCACGCAUGGCACCGCUUCGUGCCUGAGACGCCUUUUUCUCGGAGACAGAGAGAGCAAGAUCGUGCGCGGCCGGGGCCCAGCCUCUUCGCGUGCUGCGUCUCGUUUUGCAGUUUUCGAGCGCCGGAGAGACCGAGUCGCGAACGAGCCGACAGAAUGACCAGUCAGGAGACGUGCGAGCAGGGGAUCAGCAACGUGGAAACUGAAUACCUCGAGAUCAACUCGAAAGAUGCCUGGCCGAUCCUGUAUCAGCACAUACGUAACGAAUGCAGCAAUUUCUCGUAUACAUAUAAUGAAUCGAGGAAGCCACAGAACAAAAAUUUAAACCGUUACAGAGAUGUUUUGCCAUACGACCAUAGUAGGAUCAUCCUUAAGAGGGGUCCAUGUGAUUAUAUUAAUGCUAACCUCAUACGGGUAGAUCGUGCUCACAGACAAUACAUCCUUACUCAAGGACCAUUGGAAAAUACUGCUGGCCACUUUUGGCUAAUGGUAUGGGAGCAAAAUUCUAAAGCCGUGUUAAUGUUAAAUAAAAUAAUUGAAAAGAAUCACGUUAAGUGUUAUCAGUAUUGGCCUCUUGGUGAUUCAGAGAAUAAUACUAUGAUGUUUGCGGAUGUUGGUAUAAAAGUAACGUAUAUCAGCAAAACAGAAUCAUCGGAUUAUACAACUAGAGUAUUAAAAUUAACUGACUUGGAAACAAAUGAAAGUAGAGAAAUAUUACAUUUUCAUUAUACUACUUGGCCAGAUUUUGGAGUGCCACAAAGUCCAACAGCAUUUUUAUCUUUCUUAACCACUGUUAGGCAAUCAGGUGCAUUAGAUCAAAAUGUUGGACCUCCUGUGGUGCAUUGUUCUGCAGGAAUUGGAAGAUCCGGAACAUUCUGUUUAGUUGACACAUGUCUUAUUUUGAUUGAAGAAAAUGGUUUGAAUUCUGUAAAUGUUAGAGAUGUCUUGAUAGAAAUGAGAAGAUAUAGAAUGGGUUUAAUCCAAACGCCGGGUCAACUAAGAUUUUCAUAUGCCGCUAUCAUUGAAGGAGCAAAACAAUUACUGUCUAACAACGUGAACAUUAAUAACGAAGUGGUAACAAAUCAUUAUGAUGUGGUAAGUAAUCUCAAUAAUUCUGUGGUAGAAGAAGAAGAUGAACCACCUCCUUUGCCUCCUCCAAGAGGUGAAUCUUUAACACGUAGCAUGAUGGCAGAUUUAACUUCAAAUCCAGGAACUAAAAAUGAUGAAUUGGGUGGACCUCCCGAUAAACCACUACCUAGAGAACCAUUGGUUCCUACAGAAACAACCACUACUUCACCGAUUGUGAAUUCUACAGUAAUUACAAAUAACUUGCAUGAAAAGAACUCUGAUGGUGUUGUAGUGCCUAAUGAAAACACCAGUGACGGUGAAAAUUCUUUACAAACAAUUAGUCCUCCGUCCAGUCCUGAUUCGAAAAACGAAGUACGUCACCGUAAUAAAGAGAAGAAGGAACGUUUGGCAGCACAAGUACGGGAGAUGAAACGUCGACAAAAGGAAACGGAAGAAUGGCAGAAACUCAAGAGGUCAUUAUUUAAGCCCCUUUCAAUAGGCAUAGGCGCCGCAAUUGUUGGUGGGGGUAUUAUAGCAAUCUGUGGCUAUUUGUAUAUGCGUGGUUAGGACACAAUUGUUUCUAUGUCACACGUGUACAUGGACCUUCGCGUUAUCAGUGAUACUAGGUGAUUCGCACAUUCAAGAAUAGUUACUUUCAUCAUGAGAUAUUUAACAGUUUCAUUGCACACGUCAUUGAUUGCCAUUGAUUCGAAAAAGUAAUUAACUAGGGAGAAGUAUUCGAUGUUACGUAAUUUGAUGCGAAACAGUCAUCACGAAACAUUGUAUCAGUAAGAGACUAUUAAGUUGGCAGACGGAGAGACACCAGAUAACAAAGAAACGUUAAAGAGAAGUAACUUAUUCUAACAAAGUGCAUUUGUAAAGGACAUUGUUGCACGACAAGGAAGCUACAAACGAAAAACGAAAAAAAAAAAGAGGAAAAGAAAUGGGUACAUUUAUGACGACGGAGUACGAAGGAAAGGCGGAAAUAUUCAAUUUGUAUUUUUAUAUUGUGAUUCACUCAAUGAGUAUGUAGAAUACUAGAAAGUACACAUUCUUUUGAAAAUCCAUUGAUUAGGUUCCCUUGAAACUGGCAGUUUACGAAGUGAGUAGAUUCUUUGGUAAUCGUAUUUCCAGUUAGAAUAAGAAGCACAUUGAGUUAGAUUUUUACCGUGUAGCUUUUUUUUAUCCUAAUUACAAAAGUACAGAAUAUCUUUUUUAUUUGUUAGAGAAUGUUAAUAAUUGUGUCUUGUAAAUUAGAAAGAAAAAAAGCACGUGUAAAAAUCUAAUAUAGAAGAUGAAUCAAUGUCUUCUUAUUCGUAUAUUGUAAGAACUGUAGGCUCUCAUAUAUGUUAGGUAUUACACAUCAGAUGGGUGCAUAACGUUCCAGUAAGUGAAAUCAGUUAUUUACUUUCAGAGUGAUAAUCGAAACACGAACGCAAGUAUUAAUUUGCCUUUUUUUUAUUUUUGAACAUUUAAAUAGAUAUAGUACUUUUUUUAUUUAUCAUUCAUUUCUACUUGAUUUCUAUUUAAUUCAGUAAUUUAAUAUUAAAUUCUAACAAUCAGUUUAAGGAGAAAAGAGACUCGUCUCUUUCAUCAUUUUUUUCAGUGAAUAAUUUUCAAAUAAAUUAGUCUUACUGUUAGUAAUUAUCCAGGGUACCAAAAUCAUUCUCCUAGAGUUAAUAAGCACCCGAUUCCCUUACUAGAAUCUGACGAGUAUAUUCGUGAUAGGCGUAGAGAAAAUGUUAACAAUCUUAAUUAUAGUAUACCAUGUAAAUGUUUUUUAUGAAUAACUUGCCCAUCGACGUAGAGUCCAUUCUUCUAUAGAACGUUCACGACCAGGUGAAAUCAUUGUUAGAAUUAGCAUAGGUCAUGUUUGUGACGUACCAUGGCCCAUUUUUUAGACGAAUCGAUGUUGUUUAUUUAGAAUCAUUGAUUUCGUUUAGAACUUGUUCCUUGGGCUAUUGGUAAAUAAAAACUAACUUCUGACUUUCUCUCUUCUAUGAACAAACGCAGAUCACCGAGAUAUUUCGUUUAAAUGGCAACUUGUGCCUUGCAUUCUGUGUACUUGGUAAUAUUUCACACGAGUCCUUUUUAAGGAUUUUUUUUGUUACACGAGAACAUGCCUGGUAUACGGAAGACUAAUAAUAUCGAAUUUCGCAACGUAUUCAAGUAAUUAGCAACGACUUUAAAAUAAUCAAUUUGCUAUGCUGUGCUCAUCACACUGUUCUUACGCGACUGCAUAUUAUUUGUCUGUUAAUUUUUGUGAUGAAGUAGUAGGUGCCAAACAAUAAGAAGCCAACAACAAUUUUGUAUGCCAUGCAUAAGAAGAUACGUAGAGCUUCGAAUCAAUUUCUGAUAUUAGCCUUGUUACUACGAACACCAAUGUUUCAAGUAUCAAGCACCAUAUCGACUAAUUCUUAGGAGUUAGCUGAUGAUUCGUAGGAACUUCCUCGCAUUCUUAAAGAUGAGCAAUCCAUAGAAUUAUUGGUGAUAAUUCUACUGGUUUGAUCGAAAGGUACUUGAUAUUGUUCAUCAUACGUUGAUAUUUUCUACGCAACCUGAGCUUGGUGUAUCAAAGUUGAUAUCAAAAACUGAUUCUGAUUCAGAUCAUGUUGAAUUCAUGAACCGUGUCAUGGUUGCGUUAGUAAAUUUUAUUUUGUACGCUUUUAACCCCUCAUUAGAGCAUGUUCCUGUGUGUCAAUCAGCUGAGCUUUUUAGCGAGUAGCCUGUAAGAUACUUAACAGAGCUCAGGUGACUCUGCUUUCGCAGCGGAACUGAAACAGGGGGUUAAAAGAGCCAAUUUCUAAUAUGCUAACUCCAACUGACUUGCUCAAUGGUAAACUGUUUAAGCAUACAUUGAGCAUCAUGGAAAGACUGAAUAUACGUCUAGUUGCUUCUAGGAGAAGCAAAGUUGAACAAAAAAUAAGAAAAAAAGUCAGCAAAAAAAAAGUUAAACUUGUACUCUUUAGGUCGAGCUUUUACGUAAGUCACGAUCAUGAAAAAUUUGAGAAAAGAAGACUUGUCAGAUCGUGUUCCAAAAGAAACAAAAAAUAAGUGAUGAUGCAGUUUGCGUUUCAAUUUCUUCGAAAAAGGAAAUGUGCGUGAUGAGCAGACGUAUUUUGUACCUUUUUGUACGUCGUUAGCUCUAAAUUGGAAUACGAUCUUAAAACGAGACAUUUCGGGUACGUGUUAUUGCAUUAAUAUGCGUCCGUGUAAUUCAUUCACGCAUUAUCUUAGAGAUACUAUGUUCCCGCUCGAAGUAAUGUUAACGUGUUCGAAUUUAAUACAGUAUUUUGUCGUGGGGUACAGUUGUUCACCUGUGUAUGCACCGAUUGUAUAUCUUGUUACCUGAUUUUUUAUCUACACCAGGACUUCCUAAACUUCUAUGGGUACAGACUCACUUUUGGAUACAGUAAUUUUCCAAGUUCCAAAUUUAAAAAACUCUGAAGUCCUAAGUUCUAUAAUUCAAAAUCCCAAAUUUAAAAAUCUUGAAAGUCCAAUUUCAAAAUUAAAAAAUUUGUAAGUUCCAAUUUCAUUCAAAAUAUGAAUGUCUAAUGCGACCCAUAUUUUAGGAAUCUCUGGUCUAGAUUAUGUUUGUGUAACUAGAGAAGCGUUCGAGCGUGAAUCGAGCAACUAGCAUUCGAAGAAGGUGCGAAAAAGGAUAAAGGUCACGAUCGUUAUGCCUCUGAACAGAGGGGAACAACAACAACGCGUAGACACACCGUUGCCGUUGAAAUAUCUUCAGGAUGUCGCAAGGAUAAUUGGAUUCUUGCGGUUGAAACUGUUGAGAGGCUUCCAGAUGUUGGAAUAAACAUUUCAUCCAUGCAGUAGUUGGAUUCAGUACAAAGGACGUAUUGAGAAAUUGAAGCGCUGCGGAAAUAUCUUGUUUAUCAAAUGUUCUGGUAAACUAAUAUCUGCAUUUCUAGAUUGCAUUGUUGGAUUUAGGAUUCUGAGGAUAAAAAUAGCUCAAGUAGAACUUUAAAACCAUUAGACGGUUGAGUAUCAAUUGGUUUUGGAUUAGAACUUGAGUAGAAAGUCUGAUAUAAAUUGAUGACGUAAAAGUAGUACAAAAUAAUACUUAUGACAUAUCAGUUUGAAGUUUAAGGUUUGUGAAAAAUGAUCGUACAAAUGCCUCAUCGUAUUCUCAAUAUAAAGUGGCUGGUCCUUCGUUGAGACAUUCGAUGAAAUUAUUUGAAAUUGAUUCAUUGUUCUAGCGAAUCAGCUGUUUUAUAUCAAAGAAACUGAUAAAGCUUAUGCAGUUAUUCUCAUCUUACUUUAAACUUCACAUUGAUACAUCACAAGUGUAAUCUUUCAAAUUGAGUAGAACUGCAUGUUCUAUUUGAGUUUAUGAAAAUACUUGGAAUUCUCAAUAUCUCUGUGUCCUUAGAUUGCUGUAUGGAUGUUCGAAGAUAGUAUUAAUGUGUCUUCAGAAAGAAAAGAAACAAAAGUCACAUUCCAAAAAAGACACAGCGUGAAAUAGGAAGCCUCCAACAGUUGAAGCCAACAUCGUCGAAGAGUCAAUUACAGAAUGAAAUUUGUUCGUGGCUAGUCUUUCAUAAGAGACGUUCGUUCGUAAUGAAGGUGGAUGCACGAGUUUGCCCAGAGAUUCUUUAAUUUCAAGCGUUCGUUCGCCUGGUCAUUGGCGUAACAAAUAAGGGGGCUCAUAGACUUUAGACUAGGAAUUUAGAAAUUCCUGAAAUUAUAGAUUUUUAGAUAUUCACAUUCUCAAAUUUCUAAAUUUCCAGUUUUUAAAGGGUCCAAAUUUGUACAAGUCCAAUACUGCACUUUUGCAAAUGACCAACUUUAUAAAUUUCAAAAUCCUCAAGUGACAACGCUAACAGUAAAUUUAAGGGACACUUUCAAACGAAACAUACAGUUACGCCAAUGGUAAUCACAGGUUGAACGACAAUCAUUCAUUAACCCGGGAACUCCCUUGUCGUUUAUCAUCGGAAACUUCCUGACGAGAAUGAGUGCGAUAGAACGAGAGUGCGUGCGAGAGAAAAGCUUAUUCUCAAGAACUAGAAUCCACGAAAGACACGGUGCUAACAAAAGUUCCAGAAAACGAAAAGAAAGACGAAAAGGGAAAAAAGCAUAUGAUAUAUAUAAGACACGCUUUGAUACGUUUGCAUGCGUGAGAGAGCGAACGUAACCAUAGAGAAUGAAAGAAGAGAAGAAACAUUUUAAAGAAUAACGAUCGUCAGAUAUCUUAUGAACAUUACUCGAGCGAGUGAGCGAGAGAGGGAGAGAAAGAGAGAGCGAAAGAGAGAGAGAGAGAAAAUGAGCGUAAUAUACAAAGAAGAGUAAGAGAGGAGUGUGACUGUUCCGAAAGAAGAAAUCGAACGUAAAAGGGAAAAAAAGAAGAAAACGAAGAGGGGAGGCUUUUGUACAAGCAGUUUCUGUUCUUUUCAUCCUGGUAUAUAUUCUCUCCGUCUCGUGUACAAUAGACACGUUCAACUAGCGUUCUAACUACAAGGAACCGCAGAAACAUAGCUAAGUGCCUACUCGUACGAAACAAAAGGAAGGGAUCGAAAGGGAACCAUAUUGAGAAUACGACCGAUAAUAGCGUUAAUAAUUACAAUAACGUACGCGAACCCUCGCCUUUUGGAAGAGCGUAGCCAUCGAGCAAGUGAAUCCUUUACCAUCCGACAAUAUACAUUACAUACAUACAUAACAUACAUACAUACAUAUUAUUAUAUGUUGAUAGAUAUUAUCGUUCCAGUAAGUCUAUUAUCACGUAUUUGCCCAACGAUCGAAUCACUGGGUGUAUUUUAUUUGGAUAGCGAUUAUUUAUCAAAAUAGAGAGAACUUUUUUUAAAGCGAGUUACAUAGGGUUCAUCGAUGCAAUGUAUAUUUGGUGGAAGAAAUAGGGUGAAAUUGUUAGUACUUUAUACCUCAGAUUUAUCAUUUUUAUCAUGCGAUAUAUCAUGUAUUAAUUAGAAUGUGAAAACUGGCACAGUGGAGUCCUGCUAUAUGGCCAUGGGCAUGUAAAAGGGAAGAAUGGACCAUAUAAGGGGAAAUAAGCUGCUAUGAUUCUUAAAAUCUGAGAAUUCUAAAUUUCCUAAAAUUUGGAAAUUUCAAAAUUUCAAAGAUGGUAAAUCUGAGUUCGGAUAAAUUUGAAAAUUUAUAAGUUUAGCAAACGUGAAAUUCACUUAUCUUCCGCCAAGUAUACAUAUUCUGUGGAAUACAGAAUUUAAACCGUAUGUCCUGUUGGUUCGAUCGACAAUUAGCGGCAGGCAGAUUUACCUAAAGAGCUAAGGACGAGUUGCGCGUGCGAGAAGCGAAACCUGAAAUAGGAAUGAAAAACAAGGAAAAUCUGAAUGAAAGAAAAACAAAGAUCGAAAGUGUCAGAUUCGGCUUUUGGCAGAGUUCGAAUAAGAAAUAAGCAACGAUAGGAAAGUUACUUCUCUACGAAGUCAAAUUGCAUCUCCUGCGACUCGACUUAAGCACAGUAAACUAUACUCGCAAAAUUGUAGCGUCGUAGAAGCGUAUCGGAUGCGGUGUUUGAAAUGUAACAGCUGAACGCGAGCGGUAGAAUUUAGUGAGAAAGGACAUAGAAACGAAGGGGCGAAAGAAGUGAACUGAAAGCAACCAUUUUAAAUUUGAUGCAAGAGAGCGAUCUCUUUAAAAAAUAAUCGACAAUUUAUAUAGAACAUCAUUUCGCUUCUUCACCCGUUAGAGAAAGAAUAGAUCCAAAUCGAAGUAACUAUGGAUAGAAUAAUGAACGAUUUGCAUGUAAUACAAUGUUAUUUACACGAACCAGAAAGAGAGAGAGGGAGAGAGAGCGAGCGAGAAAGAGAAAAAAAAAGGAACAAUGAAACGUGCGGUGACAUCGAUGCCCUCACGACGCAUACAUUCUUCUUUUUUUUUUAACUCGCAAAAUGUAGAAAGACUCGUAGACGAAGUUCCCCGAUUGCAUAUUUAGAUCGAUCAAUACAGGAAAGGAUUUUUUCGUA
rnacentral:misc_RNA from 1 species